UACGUAGGGGGCAAGCGUUGUCCGGAAUCAUUGGGCGUAAAGCGCGUGUAGGCGGCUCGGUAAGUCCGCUCUGAAAGUCCGGGGCUCAACCCCGGGAGGCGGGUGGAUACUGUCGAGCUCGAGUCCGGAAGAGGCGAGUGGAAUUCCUGGUGUAGCGGUGAAAUGCGCAGAUAUCAGGAGGAACACCGGUGGCGAAGGCGGGUCUCUGGGCAACAACUGACGCUGAGGAGCGAAAGCGUGGGGAGCGAACAGG
rnacentral:rRNA from 1 species